rnacentral:lncRNA from 1 species
GGGUUCACCAAUCAACCUAUUCCGUUGGUUUUGCGGGCUAACCAACCAACCUUUACAAGUAGUUUGACAAAUAAAGGAAGAAGAUUUAAACUCCUACAUGAGCAAAUAAAACAAUAUAAUCUACAAAGAAGAGUUUAGAAAGUAUUUAUCGCUUGUAGUGACUUCUCUCUUCUUUGUCAAGGAUGCUUCACUCUUCAAGAGAGGAUGGAGCUCUUGAUGACUCUUUGAAUCUGCUCAACCCCUUUCUUUGAUUCUUGAAUGAAGCACUUGGAUGAAGAAGAUUAGGGCACUUUCUCUUUCUUGUGUACUCUCUGAUAUUCUUUGGAAAGGAUAUUCUAUCUGAUGAAUAGUGCCCCUUUAAAUAGUUUCCUACCUCCAUUGGACAAGCCCCAAUGGUUAGAAUUCAAAAACUAGCCGUUACUCACUGUUGGAAGGACAAAAAGUACAUCUGCAGAACUAGCCGUUAUGCUUCUGCCCGUGUUUGGGUCGGCUCAACCUGUCCUUGGGUCGACCCAACU